CUUCCAAUAUACAAAUCCAUUGGUGCUGAGUUCCAGGGGUCGAAUGUAGUUUUAAGUUGUAAUAUUAUCACUCACUGCUAGAUGGCAGAAAUGUCUUUAUUACACUUACACUAGGUCUUAGAUUGCGAUUUCGCCCAACAUGGUGUCCGCCUUACAUAAUUACAUGGAUGAUUCCGUUCAUUUUAAUUCCAUGAGCGCGAUAUUCUUCAGAGUUCCCCUUUAGGCGAAGGUUCGAAUUAGCACCCAAUGCUAAGUGGCACGUGGGUAUUUUCACAAACGGUUAACCCGCAAAAAAUUUAGCACGUCGUCAUUUGAAACUAGUCCAAGUGUAACAAUUCCAAACCUUAUGGGUGUCAAUUACCCGCAUAUUUUUGCUAUUUUUCAACAGGGCUCAGGAUUCCUAUCCUUUCAGCGGAAUCCUACUAGUAGUGCAUCGAUCUGUUUUCUCUCCUACUUACAGUUCAGUUCAGCAUGUACUACUACUCCAUAAGUGGCUUCCUACUCCUAUUAUUAAUAUUGGAGGGAAAAAACCACUUUACAUAGUACAAUAUGUAUGAAGUAGUGCCCUUCAAUUAUUUAAUAUGUGAUAAACAAACAGCAGCGAGAACCCAGUGAAUAAAUUUGUUGUUCACAUACAAGCCAGUGUUUAUAUUGAUUAAAAUGAAAUGACUCCUGACGUGCCUCAUCCACCCACUUUACUAUCAUCAAGGGUAUUCUCGUAUGCAUCCUCCAUUAAACAGUCGCUUUGUAGAGACGUUUUCAUCGAGGGAGCCGCAGCAACGCGCAAGACUGUGUUUUGUUUUGAAUGGGUAAUAUAUUUCAGCCUUUCUAUCAAUAAAGUUGCCAUUUUGGCGAAGGUGGGGAAAAAUAGGGGGGCUUAUAGAACACCUUGAUUUAGUGCCGGAUUGAAUCAGAGCUGCGGCUGCCAUACCCUCAGUAACGAAGCGGCAAUUUGUGUUUUUUUUUUUCAAUAGCAGCAAGCGCCUCGCUCAUAUUUGGUUUACCGCUUCUCAUCUUCCCCUUUCCUCCGUUUCUUUUGCUCUGACUUGAAUCAACAUCAUCAUAGUUGUUGCAAAUCCUUUCAGCAGCGUGACUACUUUUUCUUUUCGGGGGAGGGAGGGAGGCGGACGAGGGUGGGGGCUGAUGCUUUUUUCCAGCAUGUGAGUGAUGCUGUACUGGCAGCGUCUCAUUUUAAAUGCAAAAAAAAAAAGAAAAAAAGUGGUUGUGAAAAGAUGAGUUGUAACAAUGCCGUCCACAUGAAUUGUCCUUUUUUUCGGGGGUGGGGGGGGGGUCGGCACUUUUACGUGUGCCAAACGAUUUCAGAGUUAAGAAGCCUUUCUGCUUUGGAGAAGAUGCAACGCAUGUACAUGGAGUAUGCCAUCCAUUCAAAUUGCUCUGACAAAACGUUCUGCCACGACUGUUUGUUUUUGGGCAUCUCUCAAGUAAAUGAGUCACUUGAGUUGCGGUUCCAGAAGUAAGCCCUGUGUGCAACCGAGAACAAUUUGUUCAUAUUUAGUGAGGAUUUUUCAAGGAUUAAAAAAAAAACAUUUAUCAGCUGCCCCCUUCUCUGCCACAGCCCCCUUAGGUUAGAAACUGCUCUUCUGAUGUGUUAUCGGCUCCACACAGGCCCUUAUACUGUACAUUCGGUAAGGUUGAGUUAAGUGACAGAAAUAAACCCGGUGCCAAGUCAAAAGUCUCCAGACUAGUGUUUUUUUUUUUUUGGCCUUUGGAACACUUGACUAUAUAGUGCGGCUCUUCUAGAACAACGCUUAUUUACAUUUGAUGUCACAGCUUUAGGCUACAUUGUACUUGAUGUUGAAUGAACAGAAGCUGCAUAUCGGAUGCUGCGGGGCAUCGCAGGCAUUGUGACAUUGACUGAAUUAUACAUGUACCGUGGUAAUGUUGGAUCGUGCAAGUACUUUAGUAUGUAGCGCUCGUCGUGAAUAUUGAUCGUCGUCAUCAGUCUGCAAAAGUCAAUUUCGGUAUUUGACACGUUCAACGUGACUUGAACUCGACCUUCACGGGCUCUUUUACAAUUUAAUGGUGCACACAUCGUGUCACGGAAAAAAAACAACAACUAUUAGUUACUAGCUUGGCUGUAUGUGCGACUUUGUUUUGUCCAUAGCAUACCUUUAUUUUCUUUUUUCUGACACAGUAUUGACACCAAAGUAUUGUCAAUACAGUGAAGGAAAUGUUAUUCACCACUUAAUUCAAAAAUUGUAUUUCCAAUAAUAUAUUCUAUUCCACUCCAUGUGUCCAAACAUGUGGACUAAUAUGACUUGGGCAGCAAAAUUCACCUGUUUUUAUCCAUCUCAGGGGGGGGAGCGGCCAUUUUGUCACUUGUUGUCGACUAAAAAUGACAUCACAGUCGCCCAGGGCUCCGCAUGACUCGUGUGUUUUCUAAGCUCGGUAGAGGGCCGCAAACACAUUUCAAUUUUCAAAGCUGCACCCGCACGGUUGGCUGACAAUUGGGUUUAAUCAUCAGGGCAUAGAUCCAUCCCGCCUUGUAUCACUUGGCAGACUGACGUGGAGCAACAGUCAUUAUGUAACAAAGAUAUAUAUUGGGGGAGGGUGGGGGGUGGGGCACUUGAAAAGCGUGCCAAUAUGGUGGCAAAAUAGAGCAACGCAGCACGCCGCCGGCACAACACCGGACCUCCCCGCCAUUUUUGAAGUGCACUCCCACAAGACUUGCCGCGAGGUUAUCACUGCGGAUUGUGCCCUUUUGAACUCAUGCAAGUGCAGUGAUUGCCGUGCUGCUGAUAAAUAGUUUACUUUCAACCAUCUACUAUAUCAUUUGGGAUUUGUGAAUCUCAACCGAAUUGUUAAAUAUGCACUCGGUGUGCAUCCUCAAAGAGGUCCGAUAGCAACGCUGUGUACAAAAAAUAAAAAAUAAAAUCCAACAACAAUCUUUAGUCAGUUCUUCCAAACCCAUGAGCGAAUUCUCAGCAAUAUGUGUUGACUCGCUCACAAAAAUAUAUGUCCUUGGAUGUUGGAAGUAAAAGCACCCAACCCACACGUUCCCGCUCUCAGCCAAUAUUUCUUUGAUUGCCUAAUUGCUGCCAGUUUGCUCCAAAUGUCAGGCACAUCACUUGGCAUUCAUUUGCCGUGAGCUUAUGCCGUCAUCGUUUUGACAAAUUCCGCUCUCGCCCUUCCCCUACUGGACAAAACAGCCUUCCAAGUAAUAAACGCCGGGUUCGAGUGUAAUGUCUGCAUCAGUAGGCCUCUGAAGCCCAACACCCAGGAGUCAUAUGGGAUCAAAUCCACAUCAAAGCCUGGCCAAUGAUGUUAUAAAAGCCGCGCAACAAUAGAACAAUAAUUAAAGCCUCAUGGAUUUCCACAACAGUGUCGCACGCGCACGCGUGAACGCGCGCUGUAUAUCGCCGCUUCUCGUUGCGGUGAUUGAAAGAGCUCAGCCUGAUGCUUGUCACAACCUGACGCCAACCUUUUUGUCAAUCUUCUCACAUGCCGCUACCUGCCACACAAUACGCAAGCCGCCGUUGCCGUCCAUCUUGAAUGCGGUAAACAUAUUUGAAACACUCUCAUCCGCUAAGCGGUAGCUCAUUGGCUCAACAUCAAGCUGUCGUGAGCAGCAGCAAAACAUGAGACGCUGAGAUGAUUUUUGUUUUUUUGUUUUUUUGGAAGGCACUAUUUCAUGAGGCAAGCGUCAGAAUGUGCUUUUUGGACACAGGAGGCAUUUGCAUGAAUUGCUCGGCUCGCUCGACAAUAGCGCUUUAUUCAAAUAGCGUUUCUCUGCAGCUGCAACAAAGCAGUUUACAUAUGACAUAAAAUAACAAUACAACAACAAAAGAAAGUGAAAACAGUAAAUUAAUGACACCAACACACAAAUUGCAGACGCCAGAAAACCCCAGUUGCAUCUUAAAAUGAAGCCUAACAUGUUCUGGAAGCCAGUGAAGGUAGUAAACCAGGAUUAGGGCAAUGUGCUCCCUCUUCGGAGCUCCAGUUAGGAGGCGAGCAGCAGCAUUUUGGACCAACUGGAGACACUUGUGGGAGUACUAUCUGACUCCCAAAUGAAGUGCAUUACAUUCACCCAGCCGAGAUGUAAUGAAGGCAUUAUCAUGUCAUUAAUAUUCCAACUGAGCAAAAUGGUUUUGUUUUUUUGUUUUUUUUAAUCCCCAGAUUAGUCGUGAAAUACGAGUUCCUUCUAUUUUCCUUGGAUGGUUUGACAAAAGCAAAAUCUUAAUCUUCAAUAUUAAUACUGUUGAAUAGCAAUGUGAGGAUAUGGAUCGAUAUGUGAUUCUGCUUUUUUUUUUUUUUUUUUUUUACCUCUUCGGUAUCCACAUCGUCGGCGGCCUCAGUGGGUUCCGGCGCUUUCACGAACCACCACUGGAUCUCCAAAUAAACUGACGUGGUUCCGCUCUGGAACGCGCACGCCAUCUCUAUGUUUUGUCCCUCUUUAACCGUCAUGUUAGAGGGUAGAUCAGUGAAGCGACCUGCAGAAGAUGGUAGGGAGAUGCGUGGGGGCGGGAGUUGCGGAGAUAAUGAGUCAGGGGAAGAUGGAGACCAGGGGAAUGAGAGAAAGCGUUGUCGAGGUAAGUUGGUGAUGUCUGCAUGCAUAAAAACAAGCAGGAAUUAACUCCCGAGACAGUUUUAUUUUAUUUUUUUUAUUUUUUUAGGUCUCUGCCCCUCCCGUCUUCACAUCAAAACAGCUCAAUUGCUCAAUAACGCCACAUCGUAAAUUACAAGCCGUUCACUAUUUUUGCACGUCAUUGCACGUAUUGAUAGAGAGCAAGAGACAGACGUGACUUUUGGAGGGAGCCCGAAAGAAAUUUUGAAUAAAGAAAAACAGUAUAUCUGGCGGGGGGGGGGGGGGGGGGCGAUAUUUGUUUUUUGUUUUGUGUGUGUGUGUGUGUUUUUUUUUUUGCCGGGGCGUCUAAAAGGUCGUUGUACUUAAUGCCGUCAAGAAGCAGUGAGAAAGUGGAAUCCAAUGCAGUGUGAAGGGCAGGUGCUUUUCAGCACCUCGGACAGUGACAAUACGUGGCGACGAACAUUUUGCAUGAGGCAGAUUGAAAAUGUUCCUUCUGACUAAAAAAAAAAAGAGAUUUUGGGCUCGACGCGUGAAUACAUAUCAAGCAGUCACCAGUUGCAUUUUUUUGUUGGAGGGGGGGGGGCGGUUGACGACGUUGCCGGGACGUUUUUAUAACACAUCUCGCUACUAAGAUUUCCCGGUUUCCUCCAAAGAAACGCAAAAAAACCCCCCACUGCGCACUUUUUUUUCUUCAACAGUUUCUCAGCCCUUCGCAGCCUUUAAAAGUCUUACCUUCAAAGGAGAAUCCGAAAUGCACACAAAACCCAGCCAAGAAAAUAAAUCCAGCGGUAUCAUGAGAGGUCCACAUCAUUGCGCUGCCGAGAGCUUUCUUUACAUGAGCUGUAGAGGGCAAGAAAAGGCGGAGGGAAUAAAGCCAGCGAGGGGGGGUGGGCAAGGGAGCGGGGGGGGCAAUCAAACAGUUGCUGGGUCGGUGUUUUGAAACGGAGGCUGCCGCAGGUUGAACAUGCCGCAAACUAGCGGCCGCCGUUGCUCAACUUCUCGCCGUCCUUCUUUCUUUUCCGUGUGUGUUGCUGCGGCGUCUGUCGACUGCUCGGCUCGACUCCCAGUGUGCAAAAUAAGCAAGCGGCGAGCUGCGGGACUUGCUGUGCAACAGCGGAGAGACGUCAGUUAGUCUGCUGGUAAUUCACAGUGUGGCGUUCGCACUUUUUUUUUUUUUUUUUUUUUUUAAACC